AUCCAGCUGACGAGUCUCAAAUAUGAUGAAACGCGCGUCAAACUAGAU
rnacentral:hammerhead_ribozyme from 1 species